rnacentral:rRNA from 1 species
UACGUAGGGUGCAAGCGUUGUCCGGAAUUAUUGGGCGUAAAGAGCUCAUAGGCGGUCUGUCGCGUCUGCUGUGAAAAUCCAGGGCUCAACCCUGGACCUGCAGUGGGUACGGGCAGACUAGAGUGCGGUAGGGGAGAUCGGAAUUCCUGGUGUAGCGGUGAAAUGCGCAGAUAUCAGGAGGAACACCGGUGGCGAAGGCGGAUCUCUGGGCCGUAACUGACGCUGAGGAGCGAAAGCAUGGGGAGCGAACAGG